CGCUCAUCCAGAGGGGCAGAGGGACACGGCCCGAUGAAGCCCCGGCAACCCACCUAGACCGGACUCGUUCACCACCUGCGAGGCUCCCGGCGAGGGAAGGUGCCAAAUCCGUCUCACGGCGAGAUGCGUCGUGAGGAAGAUGAGGA
rnacentral:ncRNA from 1 species